CGGAGGGUGCAAGCGUUAAUCGGAAUUACUGGGCGCAAAGCGCGCGUAGGCGGUUUGAUAAGCGGAGUGUGAAAUCCCCGGGCUCAACCUGGGAACCGCAUUCCGAACUGUCGAGCUAGAGUAUGAGAGAGGGUGGCGGAAUUCCGAGUGUAGCGGUGAAAUGCGUAGAUAUUCGGAGGAACACCAGUGGCGAAGGCGGCCACCUGGAUCAAUACUGACGCUGAGGCGCGAAAGCGUGGGUAGCAAACAGGAUUAGAUACCCUGGUAGUCCACGCCGUAAACGAUGUCAACUAGCCGUUGGGCUCUUUAAGGGCGCAGUGGUGCAGCUAACGCGAUAAGUUGACCGCCUGGGGAUACGGUCGCAAGAUUA
rnacentral:rRNA from 1 species